rnacentral:rRNA from 1 species
AUACGUAGGGGGCGAGCGUUGUCCGGAAUGAUUGGGCGUAAAGGGCGCGUAGGCGGCCUGUUAAGUCUGGAGUGAAAGUCCUGUUUUCAAGAUGGGAAUUGCUUUGGAUACUGAUGGGCUUGAGUGCAGGAGAGGUUAUCGGAAUUCCCGGUGUAGCGGUGAAAUGCGUAGAGAUCGGGAGGAACACCAGUGGCGAAGGCGGGUAACUGGACUGCAACUGACGCUGAGGCGCGAAAGUGUGGGGAGCAAACAGGAUUAGAUACCCUGGUAGUCCACACUGUAAACGAUGAAUGCUAGGUGUAAGAGGUAUCGACCCCUUUUGUGCCGGAGUUAACACAUUAAGCAUUCCGCCUGGGGAGUACGGCCGCAAGGUUGAAACUCAAAUGAAUUGGCGGGG